CAUAUUGGACAAUGGGGGCAACCCUGAUCCAGCCAUGCCGCGUGUGUGAAGAAGGUCUUCGGAUUGUAAAGCCCUCCAAGUUGGGAGGAAGGGCUUUAGGCUAAUACCCUGAAGUCUUGACGUUACCAACAGAAUAAGCUCCGGCAAACUCUGUGCCAGUAGCCGCGGUAAUACAGAGGGAGCAAGCGUUAAUCGGAAUUACUGGGCGUAAAGCGCGCGUAGGUGGUUCAGUAAGAUGGGUGUGAAAUCCCCGGGCUUAACCUGGGAACUGCUUUCAUAACUGCUGAGCUAGAGUACGGUAGAGGGUAGUGGAAUUUACUGUGUAGCGGUGAAAUGCGUAGAUAUAGGAAGGAACACCAGUGGCGAAGGCGACUACCUGGACUGAUACUGACACUGAGGUGCGAAAGCGUGGGGAGCAAAC
rnacentral:rRNA from 1 species